AUGAUUCCCACCCAAACCCUGGAAUGUCAAGUGGCUCAAAAACAAUUGGGAUUUCCAGAAACUUCGUCAGCAGCACCGGCCAUGCCUCCCUCCCCCUCUCCUCUGUAUCUCCUUCAUGCACACUUCACUUUUUUAAGAGAGUGGAAAACGGAAGAGCCCUGCGUCCCACCUAUCGGUCGAGGAUUCAUGGUGGUCUCAGGAUGGGACUGAGGGCAUGACGUCCAAGGCUGACACACGAGCAGGGGUCCUUGGAGAGAAGGCCGUGCCUGCAGAAGGUCAAGGUUCACACAGUCAUGGCCACAAUCACUUCCAGCCACUCCACAAAGCAGUCACAGAAGGGAAACUGAGGACCAGAGGAGGCAAAUUGAGCUACCACCUGAGGACAGAGGCUUAUUUUGGUCCCUACCACAACCCCAGUGCUCAAGAGAGACUCUGGCAGCCAGGACUGGCAGCUAGGUUUGGGCCAGCAUCUCACAACGUAGUCCUGGCUGGUCUGGAACUUGCUAUAUAGACCAGGCUAGACUCAAACUCCCAGAGAUCCUCCUGCCUCUGCUGGGAUUAUGGGCAUGCGCUGUCACACCCAAGUGGGUCUUCCUUGAAUGACUGAGUCACAGCGGCAAAGGAGACCUCCGAGAUCUAAGCCAGCCAGUGUUUGCCACCACACAAGGGCCUACUUGGAAGGACACCGGCGUGCAGCCUUCCAUCUGUGGAGCUUCCUCACAGGUGUAUAAACAUGUCCUAUCCAGAGCCAGGCAGGAACACAGGCAAAAGCCAUGGCUUGGCUUGUGAGCCAGAGGUCAGUGAGCACAUUAUCCCCAUCAGUGACAGGGAAAAGCUGGGCCGCCCUCACAGCAUAGCCAAAGACACCAGAGUCACCAGACGCUACUGUCUCUGGCCAUCCUAGCUAGAGGUGGGAUGGGACUGACCAGGGUUAUCUGCAGCUAGGCAGGACCUGCCCCAUGUAUCUUACCUCCAAGACCCUCAUGCUGGGACUCCUAACCAGCUGAUGGGCCAGGACUUCCCCUAAUGGAUGGGAACAAACAAGAUCCCCCAUUGCCUCAUCUACGAAUUGAAAGUGAGGGCUUCAUGACCCUCCGUUCAGGCCAGAGUCAAGCUUUCUGCAUCGGUAGUGUUCCUGGCAUCAUACCCUCCACACCUGCUCAGAGAUGUGGGGUGACGGGCAGAACAGAAAAAUUCCUCCCUGAGCAGUGUGUAGGCUUCAGGUGUCUUCGGAGGGACAGAUGACAGGACACCACCUCUGCAUUAUUGUAGUGACACCAGAGGAACAUACAUGUGACUUGUUAAAUGGCCACCAAGGUCAAUAUCUCUCACUAAAUCUGGAUUUGGUGGGACUGCCUGGCCAGUCAAUCCCAGGCAUCCUCCUGCCUCUGCCUCCCAGUGCUGAGAGGCCACAGCAGGCACUUCUGCACAGGUGCUGGCGAUCAAACGCAGGCCCUCAUGCUUGUACAACAAACACUUUACCAACUGAGCCCUCUCCCAGGACCCUAAAUGGUCUCUUUAGCGCCCCCCAACCCCACCCAGCGCUGCAUCUGUGAAGUUGGGACAGUGUUGUUACUAGAGAGAAACUGUGUUGGGGGAGGUGAGGGGAGACUUUCUUGCUGGUUUUCAAAGGAAAGAGGCUGAAAAAUUCUGCUGACAGGGACCUGCUUCCUCGGGCAGGCACAGAUCACCUCUGCCUUGCCGUACGUAGGCAUGAGCAAGUCUGCGUCAGGCUGUGCAUAGUCUGGCCAGGGUCCUCUUCCAGCUCAAACUCUGGGAAGCAGCCAGGUCAGCUGUCCUGGGUGCACACUGGAAUUUGACCCUUUUCCAGCAAAAUAAACCCAGUACAGGGUCAAUGGCGAAGCGGUUGUCCAGGGAAGAGAAGAAAAGCAGCUGAUAACUCUGAGGCCACAGGCCAGGGGUCAGGACCUUCCAGAACCAACACACAGCCCUGGGUUCUGCCAUGGGACUGCAGGGCCCCAGGCAGUGAAAAUACCAGUGUACCCAGGCAUCCCUGGGCCCUGCCCCAAUGAAACUGGACCUGCUGCUCCCUUCCAGCAAGCCAGCCAGGCCACCCAGAACCAGCGAGCUGGAGGGUUCCCUGGCUGGCAGUGGUGACUACGAAUUAAAUCAGACCUUCAAAUUCUGAUUUAUCAGAAGAAAGACUUUUUUUAAAAAAAAAAUCUUUUUAAUGUGCUGGGGACAGAACCUGGGGCUUGGUGCAUGCUAGGCAUGCACUCUACCAACUGAGCCCCAGAGCAACCUUUACAGAUGUAAAUCAGCUAAGGAGAUCCUCGGGAUGGACAGUGUCUUUGGGAAGAUGGGAAAUCUGAAUGCAAAGACAAAUCUACACACAGUGGUGACACACAUACACAGACUUAGAGAGCUCAGUCUACUAUAAGUCAAGGAUAAAUGCCUAGGGAAUGGUGCCACCCACUGUGGGCAGCCCUCCCAUUAACAUAAUCAACAUGCUCCCUCCGAUGUUCUCAGAGGCUUCUUCCCAGGUGACUCUGGAUUUUGUCACAAGGACAAUUAACAUUAACUGUCACACCCAGCCCCCACUGCUGCAGCUCUACCCAGACUCUGACAUCAGGGACAGGCAGACCACCAUCCCUCACACAGGUGGGCCUUGAAAGCAUAACUGGUACCCCAGCAUAAACUGCCAUGGCAACUCUUCAGAAAGGAGUCAGGCGUGGGCCCUGGUUCUCAGAAGGCCACAGCUGGCUGAAACUCUUCCCUUCUCCACUCCUGCCCAGUCAGUCUCCCCACAAGCCUAACUCUUUACCCCUGGGGCAGACUCAGGCCCCUGCUCAGGAAAGCGAGGUUUGCACCAGCAGUCUAAGGUGGUUCCUAGGGCCCCGGUCCCUGUGACUCUCUCGUGUGUAGUCUCUCCUCCAGUUGUGUAUGGACACGGUGGAGCUUUAUAAUCACACACAUAUACAAUUACACAUUCACAAUGGGGUGAAUCACACAAAUGCACAGCAGGUAGGUCUUAGGUAGCAGGUGAGCCCGCCGGAAGGCUGAUGAGCAGUAUACACUUGGAGAUGGAGGGCAGAGUGAGUCCUGAGGCUGCAAAGAGACCUUCACUCCAAACUGAGGAGGAUCUGGGCUCCAUCCAUGCCUGGAUUGCAGCUUUUGUAGAUGGAAGACUCGGCUACCUGAGCCAUGUCCUGCUGCCUUUACUCUGUGGGGUGGACAGGCCCCAUGCCCACAGGUUCCACAGCUGCAAAUUCAGCCAGCUGUGGGGCCAUAUUUCACAAAAGGUUGCAUCUGCUCAAAAUAUGUGUGGCUUUCGCUCACCAUGGCUGCUCACACGUAGAGCACAGCAACUGUCUACGUGGCAAUGGCUGGCUGGCGAUGUGUUACCUGGAGGUGGCUCCAGGGCUCAGAAGCCUUGCAGGUUCAACACUCUGCCAGGGGACCUGCAGGGUCGGGCAGCCCAGCCCCCAAGUGCAUCAUUAUAUAGUAAUAGAAAAUCAACAGCAGACUGCAGAGACACUUCAGUGGGUGAGGUACCGGCUGCGCAGGCGUGACAUCCCGAGGGUGGAUCCCUGGAGCCCACGCAAAAGCCAAAGUGAUGGUGGGUGCCUGUGACUACAGCCCUGGAGGCAAACAGUCCUGGGGCUCACCAGCCAGCCAGUCUAGCUCACGGGGAGCUCCAUGUUCAGAGGGAGACCCUGUCUCAGAAAACAAGGUAGGGAGCAGUAGAGGAAAACACUCAUGUUGACCUCUGUACACAAAUACAAACUGCACGUGCACCCACACAUACGUGUACGCACAUGAACAUGUAUGCACACACCCAUACAACAAGAAAUUAAAAAUAAACUAAGAAAAUAAGAGGAAAACAGAGCACAAGAGAUGUCUUGAACCCGAAGCAGAUUUUUGAGGAAAGCAGCUCACGUUGUGUAGGAGAGCCGUCAAGAGGACAGUUCUGUGUUCACUCACCCACAUUCGCCCGCCCACCCGGUUACACCAGUUCACCUUCCAGGCAGCACCCUGGGGCUCCUACUUGCUCUGUGAAUUGGGCCCCCAAGUGGAUCUUGUGGGACCCCCGCCCCAGGAGCUCAGAAUGUGGCGAACUGGAGUCACACAGACACCCUGGGGACCUCUGAGGUUGGCUGAGGUCGCCCGUGAAAUGGAGAUGUUCCGAAAAUCAGGAGGUACCCUGCCUUGAAUGCAGAGCCUAAGUCAGUCGAUGCAGAACUAGCCACCAG